AUUGAACGCUGGCGGCAGGCCUAACACAUGCAAGUCGAGCGGAUGAAGGGAGCUUGCUCCUGGAUUCAGCGGCGGACGGGUGAGUAAUGCCUAGGAAUCUGCCUUGUAGUGGGGGAUAACGUCCGGAAACGGGCGCUAAUACCGCAUACGUCCUGAGGUAGAAAGUGGGGGAUCUUCGGACCUCACGCUAUCAGAUGAGCCUAGGUCGGAUUAGCUAGUUGGUGGGGUAAAGGCCUACCAAGGCGACGAUCCGUAACUGGUCUGAGAGGAUGAUCAGUCACACUGGAACUGAGACGCGGUCCAGACUCCUACGGGAGGCAGCAGUGGGGAAUAUUGGACAAUGGGCGAAAGCCUGAUCCAGCCAUGCCGCGUGUGUGAAGAAGGUCUUCGGAUUGUAAAGCACUUUAAGUUGGGAGGAAGGGAAGUAAGUUAAUACCUUGCUGUUUUGACGUUACCAACAGAAUAAGCACCGGCUAACUUCGUG
rnacentral:rRNA from 1 species